CACUCAUUUAAUCAUCACAGCAUCCACUUCUAUAGAUAAGGAAAGAGAAACACAGAGAGGCUUAGUCAGUUGCCCAACAGCACACAGAUAAUAAGUAGGAAAGCUGGAAUUUGACCUCACAGGCCAGCUUUGUAGUCCUUGCUCUUAUCCUCCCAUUCAGGGUAUACAAACUUGGGCAACAUCCUUCCAUCACAACUCACCCAAGGAAUCUGUUGGUUACCAGGUGCAUGGAGUUCCUAUUAGUCACGAUUAGGCAUUUUUUUCAAAAGUGUGCAGAACUGAUGGUCUCUUGAUUGUCUUCAUUAACUAUACUUUUACCAUUGUGUUGACUGUGUUUUGACUUGUGGGACAGAGAGAGGAGAGAUAUUGAAAGUGCCCUUUGAAACUACUGUUUCACUCAGGGACCUGAUUAUGCAUCUGAAUAUCUCUCAGAUCUGCCCUGGUCUGUGGUCAGGGGAAGGCUUUCAGAAGUUUUUCUGAGUUGUUUUUUUUUUGUUUUUUUUUUUUUUGUUUUUUUUUUUUUUUGUUUUUUUGGCAGAAAGAGAACAACUAUUAGCUUGGUUAUGACCGAAAAAAUACUCCCUUGCGCCAAUGAUGCUAUUGACUCAAUGAUGCUUCCUGUGUUACACAACCCAACACCCCUCUUGGCUGUAACAGCACCGGAUUUUACCGUGUAAUGGCUCCAUUGGCUGUCCACAUGGAGCUAUGCCAUCCCGUAUGGUUCUACUACCCCGUCUUGUCCCCCUGCAGACUUCUCUCCACACACAUUUUGAAAUUUAGCUGGUGCUUUUCCAGCGAAGAAAUUUCUCCUGCUCAGAUGAUCGUGAUCAAAUGACAGACAAGGGCACCAUCGGUUGCCAGGCACUGAGAUGGAAUAAACAUCAACCCGCUUCCCGCGCCUUCUCCUCUGAGAAAGAGCAGCAACGCCUUGAGAGUCAGGAGUAACACAGUGACCAAAUAAAAAUGAUUUAUUGGAAAAUAUCCAGAGUUCCUCUGGGAGGUCUGUCACAGAUAUUGUCUCCACGGGGAGCUGGGUUCCUGUGCUGGCUGCACACGGCAAGUUGGCUAACGCCAUUUUUCUUCGGUACAUGCUGUCUCUGGGGCUUCUUCUGCUUACAUCAUGAUGUCAGCAACCUGUGGCUUAGCUCCAUGAAGGUAAAGUUUCUGUCAUCAUUAUCAAUUCUUGUGUGUCUGACUACAGUAAGACCAUGA
rnacentral:lncRNA from 1 species